rnacentral:rRNA from 1 species
AACGAACGCUGGCGGCAUGCCUAACACAUGCAAGUCGAACGAGACCUUCGGGUCUAGUGGCGCACGGGUGCGUAACGCGUGGGAACCUGCCCUUAGGUUCGGAAUAACUCCCCGAAAGGGGUGCUAAUACCGGAUAAUGUCUUCGGACCAAAGAUUUAUCGCCUUUGGAUGGGCCCGCGUUGGAUUAGCUAGUUGGUAGGGUAAAAGCCUACCAAGGCGACGAUCCAUAGCUGGUCUGAGAGGAUGAUCAGCCACACUGGGACUGAGACACGGCCCAGACUCCUACGGGAGGCAGCAGUGGGGAAUAUUGGACAAUGGGCGAAACCUGAUCCAGCAAUGCCGCGUGAGUGAUGAAGGCCUUAGGGUUGUAAAGCUCUUUUACCCGGGAUGAUAAUGACAGUACCGGGAGAAUAAGCGCCGGCUAACUCCGUG